rnacentral:rRNA from 1 species
UACGAAGGGGGGCUAGCGUUGCUCGGAAUGACUGGGCGUAAAGGGCGCGUAGGCGGAUGGCACAGUCAGAUGUGAAAUUCCCGGGCUUAACCUGGGGGCUGCAUUUGAUACGUGUUGUCUUGAGUUCGGAAGAGGGUCGUGGAAUUCCCAGUGUAGAGGUGAAAUUCGUAGAUAUUGGGGAAGAACACCGGUGGCGAAGGCGGCGACCUGGUCCGACACUGACGCUGAGGCGCGAAAAGCGUGGGGGAGCAAACAGG